CCCUAUAAAGGCCAGACCAGCUUCAGCCUUAGGCUAAUUUCUCCUAAGGGUCACACGAUUUUAAGAAAAUAGAAGACUAUCAUUUACAGCUGGUGUGGCCCUGUGGCGGUGUGGACCCAGAUUUCAAGCACAGAGGAAGAUCAGACACUGAUGUCCCGCAUCUGAUAUGUAUAUAACACAAUUCUCAAUUAUCCUUUGAUUGUGUUUUACUCCCUUCUGUACAAUAGACUCAUUUUUAAAGCAAAAGUUGAAGAAAGUGAACAAAAACAGCAGUGGAAAGUUCAUAAAAGACAAAUGAAGAAUUCAGAGCCCAAUCCUAACCUCAAGCCAAGAAGUAAGAAAAGGAAGAAAAAAUCAAGAAACUCAGAACAGAACCCCAGCAACAUUGAACCAAGGAGCAUGGACUCUCAGGCUGUUCAUAGAUUUCAGGAUCUUUUCCACUACUUCCACAGGCAGAUAGAGGGCCAUCCCCACCACCGUCUCUACCACCACCGUCUCUUCCCAGAGGAGUUUUUACUCUUCCUCCAACUCCUUUACCUGAGCUAAGUGGUAAACCAUCAUCAUCACCAUCACCUUUGGAGACCUCCUCUACCACCACCUUUGUUGAGAGACCUACUCUCCAGGAUCCCCACCUGCUCUGUCUUAUGGAGUGAAACAGAAAUAAAUGUGUAAGACUCAA